UUCAAUCAAUUUACUACUUCCAUAGAUUGUAGUAAUGUUUGCCUUACACAAUUACUCUUCUUUUCUUUGAGUAUUGUACAUGAAUCAACUAGGCAAAUACUUUUACACUUGGACGUUGGUCCCAGUUCGCUUUGUGAGAUAUCCAUAUUUGCUAUCCCAUAGUUUAACAUACAAAAAAAAUACAUAAAUGUAAGUAUAAACAACUUCAAUUCUUUUGUUUCGCGUUUAAACAGCGUUUUGGGAAGCAGUUAUUUAGGAUAUUCGAAUAUUGUAUUCUAAUAUUCGAAUA
rnacentral:lncRNA from 1 species